UUGGGGCGCACUUAGCGUCAGGUAUAAUUAAGCAUAAUUUGAAAAACGAGGCUUGUUGAAUCAGCUAUACUUGCUGGGGUCGUAUUAAUUCGGCCUCUAGAUUUAAGCUUGGUCGGUGACUUUGAGACAGUCAUACUUUUUCAACUCGCAUUUCCAUCUAAUUGUACACGUUACAAACAAAUGUUGCAAAAACUCUCAACCUGUCAAGAUGCAAACCCCGGCCUCUCAUGAUUACUGUGAAUCUACAUCGCAUUGGAGGAGAAGGGAAUGUUAUAUACGUGAGCUUCUGCAGGGAAGAAUUUGCCAGCUUUGAAAAUACCCCUAUUCAUAAGAAAACAUUAAGUUAAAUAAUGAUGGUCAUAGAAGAUGAUAGAGUAUUUUCAUGGCUGAAGUGAUUCCACCAAUUUGCACCACAUUGAAACACUCUAUGAUUGAUUUUCUGCAGCAUAUUCAGUAAACACAUUGCAAAUGAAGAGGAAAAUUGUGGGAAGACCUGGAGGAACGUUGUCCAUGGAGUCGCGAUGGGUCGGACACGACUUCGCAAUUAACAACAACAACAUGUAUUCAUCAGUGAGUUUAGGCACUCAUUUUGCGUGCCUUGCAUAUUUUUUCCUGCCUGUAUCUGUACAAUAUUCAUGAAUUUUUGAUUGCUAUGAAACUGAACCAUUAAUUAAUAAAAGCAAAUAGAAUA